UACGUAGGGUGCGAGCGUUGUCCGGAAUUAUUGGGCGUAAAGAGCUCGUAGGCGGUUUGUCACGUCUGCUGUGAAAUCCCGAGGCUCAACCUCGGGCCUGCAGUGGGUACGGGCAGACUGGAGUGCGGUAGGGGAGAAUGGAAUUCCUGGUGUAGCAGUGAAAUGCGUAGAUAUCAGGAGGAACACCGAUGGCGAAGGCAGGUCUCUGGGCUGACACUGACGCUCAUGCACGAAAGGCGUGGGGAGCAAACAGG
rnacentral:rRNA from 1 species